CCUACGGGAGGCAGCAGUAAGGAAUAUUGGUCAAUGGACGAAAGUCUGAACCAGCCAUGCCGCGUGAAGGAUGAAGGCCCUCUGGGUUGUAAACUUCUUUUAUCUGGGACGAAAAAAGGGUAUUCUUACUCACUUGACGGUACCAGAGGAAUAAGCACCGGCUAACUCCGUGCCAGCAGCCGCGGUAAUACGGAGGGUGCAAGCGUUAUCCGGAUUCACUGGGUUUAAAGGGAGCGUAGGUGGGCUGAUAAGUCAGUGGUGAAAUCUCCGGGCUUAACCCGGAAACUGCCAUUGAUACUAUUAGUCUUGAAUUAUCUGGAGGUAAGCGGAAUAUGUCAUGUAGCGGUGAAAUGCUUAGAUAUGACAUAGAACACCAAUUGCGAAGGCAGCUUGCUACGGAUUGAUUGACACUGAGGCUCGAAAGCGUGGGGAUCAAACAGGAUUAGAUACCCUGGUAGUCCACGCCCUAAACGAUGGAUACUCGACAUCAGCGAUACACUGUUGGUGUCUGAGCGAAAGCAUUAAGUAUCCCACCUGGGAAGUACGACCGCAAGGUUGAAACUCAAAGGAAAUUGACGGCUGAGACGNGCGAGACGACGACGAGGGAGGAGG
rnacentral:rRNA from 1 species